AUGUCGACUGGUAGGGUUAAUCACUUUGCAUCAGAAUUAGUUUACCAUGGGACUCAGGGUCCGUUUGUGAUGUCAUUGCUUUUGACUUGUACAAUGACUGCUGAGAUGGGAGCUGUUUACAUUAGGCUCUUACUCAAACUAUUCCUACUGGAAUCCAAAGGAUGCUUAUCUCUAAUGCGAAUAGAUUCAGCCUCCCUUCUCUCAAAAGGGUGUUGA
rnacentral:lncRNA from 1 species